CUCCGGGCAGAGCGCGUGUGGCGGCCGAGCACAUGGGCCCGCGGGCCGGGCGGGCUCGGGGCGGCCGGGACGAGGAGGGGCGACGAGGAGCUGCGAGCAAAGAUGUGCCCCGGGACCCCCGGCACCUUCCAGUGGAUUUCCUUGCGGAAAGGAUGUUGGCGGUCCCUGUGACCUGUGGAGACACGGCCAGAUCUGCCCUCCAGACCAUAGCUGUCUGCAGUGCAGGAAGCCAACUAUUAAGGGGAAACAAAAGUGUUCUUAGGAGUCCUGCUGUCAUUGUGGAUUGAGCCGGUGAAGCCCUGAGGGAUUUCAUCGCCGAGGUGGAUGGAGAAGCAGCUGGGGGCCUUGGCUGUAAGGACCCCUAAGGGCCUGAUCUUUUGGCCAGAAGGAGAUUAAAAAGAUGCCCCGCAAGAUGGCUGUGCCUGUCAACUGCAUGGAGCUUCGUUCAAGUAUUUUCUGAGCCUGAUGGAUUUACAGUGAUCUUCAGUGGUCUGGGGAAUAACGCUGGUGGAACCAUGCACUGGAAUGACACACGCCCGGCACAUUUCAGGAUACUAAAAGUGGUUUUAAGGGAGGCUGUGGCUGAAUGCCUCAUGGAUUCUUACAGCUUGGAUGUCCAUGGGGGACGAAGGACUGCAGCUGGCUGAGAGGGUUGAGAUCUCUGUUUACUUAGAUCUCUGCCAACUUCCUUUGGGUCUCCCUAUGGAAUGUAAGACCCCGACUCUUCCUGGUGAAGCAUCUGAUGCACGUUCCA
rnacentral:lncRNA from 1 species